GCUAAAGAGGACCUUGUGCAGGUUUCCCGAGACAAAACAGAUGGUGCAACGCUGUCGAAGCUGUUGGGCUGGCUUGAAUGAUCCAAUGCUGAUCCGAUUGCACGUAGAGUCGAGAAUUCUGGAAGCCCUGUGAUUCCGAUGCACACUGUGUUCGACGGGGCGGGAAGCAGCAUCACGUUGAUUUGAUUUCUCUGGUUAAGAACGGAAUGGUCUCUACAUUGUCUUCUUGUCGCUCGGUUCAUAACUGCACGUUACCAACAACACAGUCUGCGAAGGAGCCGUAAAUCAUCUUCUCGAUCGUUCCUCUCAUCUCAGAUUCUCAUGCCCAAUUUUUAAUGUGGAAGGAAAAGUCCGGAAUUAUUUUCUCUGAUUCGGUCAACACAUUCGUGCACGGCAACUUUGAAGACUAUCAAAAAGUCUGACUUGCUUCACCGGGCAAUGCCCGGAAUGCUAUCAACCAAUCAUUUUGCAACCACUGCGAAAAAGGAUUGUUAAUGUCUUGGAACUCCGGACGUAACGGACUCCGGACGUAAUGGAAAAAGACCGGACGUAACCGGCUUUAAAGCUCCCCCGCACACACUGGGAAUCCAGCAAGACAUAUACUACCCGGGGUCUGCGGAUCGAUACUGGUUCCUGGAUUCCCGAUGAUUCUUCAACAUGUGUC